UACCAGCACCCCGAGUGGUCGGGACGAUUAUUGGGCCUAAAGCAUCCGUAACCGGUUUUACAAGUCCUCCGUUAAAUCCAGCUGCUUAACAGAUGGGCUGCGGAGGAUACUAUAAGACUAGGAGGCAGGAGAGGCAAGCGGUACUCAGUGGGUAGGGGUAAAAUCCGUUGAUCCAUUGAAGACCACCAGUGGCGAAGGCGGCUUGCCAGAAUGCGCUCGACGGUGAGGGAUGAAAGCUGGGGGAGCAAACCGG
rnacentral:rRNA from 1 species